rnacentral:rRNA from 1 species
UUCCGGGGCUUAGUGCCGGAGCUAACGCAAUAAGCACUCCGCCUGGGGAGUACGACCGCAAGGUUGAAACUCAAAGGAAUUGACGGGGGCCCGCACAAGCGGUGGAGCAUGUGGUUUAAUUCGAAGCAACGCGAAGAACCUUACCAGGUCUUGACAUCCCGAUGCUAUUCUUAGAGAUAGGAAGUUACUUCGGUACAUCGGAGACAGGUAGUGCAUGGUUGUCGUCAGCUCGUGUCGUGAGAUGUUGGGUUAAGUCCCGCAACGAGCGCAACCCUUAUUGUUAGUUGCCAUCAUUAAGUUGGGCACUCUAGCGAGACUGCCGGUAAUAAACCGGAGGAAGGUGGGGAUGACGUCAAAUCAUCAUGCCCCUUAUGACCUGGGCUACACACGUGCUACAAUGGUCGGUACAACGAGUUGCGAGCCGGUGACGGCAAGCUAAUCUCUGAAAGCCGAUCUCAGUUCGGAUUGGAGGCUGCAACUCGCCUCCAUGAAGUCGGAAUCGCUAGUAAUCGCGGAUCAGCACGCCGCGGUGAAUACGUUCCCGGGCCUUGUACACACCGCCCGUCACACCACGAGAGUUUGUAACACCCGAAGUCGGUGAGGUAACCUUUUAGGGGCCAGCCGC